rnacentral:misc_RNA from 1 species
GAAAGUAAAAGUCGUAACAAGGUCUCCGUUGGUGAACCAGCGGAGGGAUCAUUACUGAGUUACCGCUCUACAACCCUUUGUGAACAUACCUAACUGUUGCUUCGGCGGGCAGAGGUCCCUCGCGGAUCUCUCCCGGCAACGCCCUCACGGGCGGAGCGCCCGCCGGAGGAUACCAAACUCUAUUUUAACGACGUUUCUUCUGAGUGGCACAAGCAAAUAAUUAAAACUCUUAACAACGGAUCUCUUGGUUCUG